rnacentral:rRNA from 1 species
UUGGAGGGCAAGUCUGGUGCCAGCAGCCGCGGUAAUUCCAGCUCCAAUAGCGUAUAUUAAAAUUGUUGCAGUUAAAAAGCUCGUAGUUGAAUUUCUGCUGCAUUGCUUUUGCUCCUUUACGAGUCUUUGCAUUGUGGCUUAUUUCGGACUUUGUUUUACAAUGUCCGGAUGUUUACUUUGAGAAAAUUAGAGUGCUCAAAGCAGGCUUUCGCCUUGAAUAGUUUAGCAUGGAAUAAUAAAGUAGGACUUUGGUUCUAUUUUGUUGGUUUUAGGUACCAAAGUAAUGGUUAAUAGGAACAGUUGGGGGCAUUCGUAUUUAACUGUCAGAGGUGAAAUUCUUAG